rnacentral:rRNA from 1 species
AGUGAACGCUGGCGGUAGGCCUAACACAUGCGAGUCGAACGGCAGCACAGUAAGAGCUUGCUCUUACGGGUGGCGAGUGGCGGACGGGUGAGGAAUACAUCGGAAUCUACUUUUUCGUGGGGGAUAACGUAGGGAAACUUACGCUAAUACCGCAUACGACCUACGGGUGAAAGCAGGGGAUCUUCGGACCUUGCGCGAUUGAAUGAGCCGAUGUCGGAUUAGCUAGUUGGCGGGGUAAAGGCCCACCAAGGCGACGAUCCGUAGCUGGUCUGAGAGGAUGAUCAGCCACACUGGAACUGAGACACGGUCCAGACUCCUACGGGAGGCAGCAGUGGGGAAUAUUGGACAAUGGGCGCAAGCCUGAUCCAGCCAUACCGCGUGGGUGAAGAAGGCCUUCGGGUUGGAAAGCCCUUUUGUUGGGAAAGAAAAGCAGCAGGUUAAUACCCCGCUGUUCUGACGGUACCCAAAGAAUAAGCAUCGGCUAACUUCGUG